AAUAUACCAGUUGAACCCUAGGUUGACUCUGGUAUGUUAAACACAUGAACAGUCGUCUUCACUUGUUCAAUGACAAAGCCGGGUUUAAAACCUCGAUUGUGAUUCAUUUUGGGUCUCUAAUCCCCAGCUUUUACCACCACAAUCAACCAGAUUAAUGACAUUUUUUCUCCAGAAAUCUUAAUUAUUAAGUCAAAACAUAUUCACCAAUCCACUCCUUGCGGAGAGAAAUUAUAUUGAAAAUUAGCGUCUUCUAGCCAAUGUGUUUUUAUUUUGUUUUUGCUUUUAGUUCUGAGUUGGUAGUUUGGGUUUGUGAUUAAUUCUAAUCUGUAUGUCAUUUAUCUAGGAGCUGCCUUCUUUUCUAAAUUAGCAAUCUGCUGUUUGAUUCUGAAGCGGGGGUCAUUUUUAUAUGAGCUGCCUUGUUGUCCAAAUUACCAUUCUGCUGUUUGAUUUCUGUCCAAGUGAUCCCGCUUCUGUUUUUUAAAGAUCUUCUUAAGUUUCUGAUGGUACUACCAUUCUGUUUUAAAUUACCAUUCUGCUCCUUUUGCAUCUAUGCUCUGAACAGGACCUGGAGGUGACCUUAGGGU
rnacentral:misc_RNA from 1 species